UACGAAGGGGGCUAGCGUUGCUCGGAAUCACUGGGCGUAAAGCGCACGUAGGCGGACUCUUAAGUCGGUGGUGAAAUCCUGGAGCUCAACUCCAGAACUGCCUUUGAUACUGAAGAUCUUGAGUUCGGGAGAGGUGAGUGGAACUGCGAGUGUAGAGGUGAAAUUCGUAGAUAUCGGAAGGAACACCUGUGGCGAAAGCGGCUCACUGGACCAUUACUGACGCUGAGGCACGAAAGCUAGGGGAGCAAACAGG
rnacentral:rRNA from 1 species